rnacentral:rRNA from 1 species
UACGUAGGGUCCGAGCGUUGUCCGGAAUUAUUGGGCGUAAAGAGCUCGUAGGCGGCUUGUCGCGUCGGCUGUGAAAACCCGCGGCUCAACUGUGGGCGGGCAGCUGAUACGGGCAGGCUGGAGUUCGGUAGGGGAGACUGGAAUUCCUGUGUAGCGGUGGAAUGCGCAGAUAUCAGGAGGAACACCGGUGGCGAAGGCGAGUUCCUGGACACUUCCUGACACUGAGGCACGAAAGCUAGGGGAGCAAACAGG